AUUUAUAUAUUAUAAUAAGUAAAAUUAAUUUCCAAUUAAUUAGUCUAUAAAUAAAUAUAGUAUAAAUA
rnacentral:tRNA from 1 species